rnacentral:rRNA from 1 species
GAUGAACGCUGGCGGCGUGCCUAAUACAUGCAAGUCGAGCGAACAGACGAGGAGCUUGCUCCUCUGACGUUAGCGGCGGACGGGUGAGUAACACGUGGAUAACCUACCUAUAAGACUGGGAUAACUUCGGGAAACCGGAGCUAAUACCGGAUAAUAUAUUGAACCGCAUGGUUCAAUAGUUAAAGACGGUUUUGCUGUCACUUAUAGAUGGAUCCGCGCCGCAUUAGCUAGUUGGUAAGGUAACGGCUUACCAAGGCAACGAUGCGUAGCCGACCUGAGAGGGUGAUCGGCCACACUGUAACUGAGACACGGUCCAGACUCCUACGGGAGGCAGCAGUAGGGAAUCUUCCGCAAUGGGCGAAAGCCUGACGGAGCAACGCCGCGUGAGUGAUGAAGGUCUUCGGCUCGUAAAACUCUGUUAUUAGGGAAGAACAAAUGUGCAAGUAACUAUGCACGUCUUGACGGUACCUAAUCAGAAAGCCACGGCUAACUCCGUG